GAUGAACGCUGGCGGAGUGGCAAAUACAUGCAAGUCGAGCGAACGGACGAGAAGCUUGCUUCUCUGAUGUUAGCGGCGGACGGGUGAGUAACACGUGGAUAACCUACCUAUAAGACUGGGAUAACUUCGGGAAACCGUAGCUAAUACCGGAUAAUAUUUUGAACCGCAUGGUUCAAAAGUGAAAGACGGUCUUGCUGUCACUUAUAGAUGGAUCCGCGCUGCAUUAGCUAGUUGGUAAGGUAACGGCUUACCAAGGGAACGAUGCAUAGCCGACCUGAGAGAGUGGUCGGCCGCACUGGAGCUGGGACGCGGUCCAGGCUACUGCGAGAGGCAGCAGUAUGGAAUGGUCGGCAAUAGGCGAAAGCCUGGCGGAGCGACGCCGCGUGAGUGGUGGAGAUCUUCGGAUCGGAAUGCUCUGUUAUGAGGGAAGAACAGAUGUGUAAGUAACUGUGCAGAGCUUGACGGUACCGAGUCAGGGAGCCACGGCUAACUACGUG
rnacentral:rRNA from 1 species